GCAAGUCGAGGGGUAACAGAGGAGCUUGCUUCUGCUGACGACCGGCAAACGGGUGAGUAACAGGUAUACAACAUACCCUAUACAGGAGGAUAGCCCUGAGAAAUUAGGAAUAAUACUCCAUAGUAUUAUUGAUAGGCAUCUAUUAAUAAUUAAAGAUUUAUCGGUAUAGGAUUGGUAUGCAUCUGAUUAGUUAGUUGGUGAGGUAACGGCUCACCAAGGCAACGAUCAGUAGGGGGCCUGAGCGGGAGAUC
rnacentral:rRNA from 1 species